rnacentral:lncRNA from 1 species
AACCGAAGCCGCUCAUCAGAAUGUCAGCUCUCCAAAUCCUAUCCUUCCCUCAGCUCAAGUCUGACCUCCUCCAGGAAGCCCUCCUUGGUAACCCCAGCCCAUCACAGGUUUGUUCAUCCACACGACUCCUUGCUUUAAAACUCUCCAGAGGGUCUGCCUAACUUCAUGGUCAAGUUCAGUCUUCUUAGUUUGGCAUACAAGGCCCUUUGUGAUCUGACACCUUCUCACCUGUGUAGCCUCUUCUCCUACUCUCCACCCCCACCCUUUAACCCAGGUGCGACAAACAACCUUCACCCCUCUCCCCGGAAUUUGGGCCUCAGAGCCUUGGACUGUGUUUUUGCCUUGAUGGGGAUUUUCCUUCCCCUUCGUCAUGUGGCUGGAUGGUCCUUAUUCCCAAAACUCACCCCAAGCCUCUCCUGCAGGGGUGGGGAGAGAUUGAGCCCCCAGGGCUGGGUUAGGUAUCCCUGCUCAUGCCCCAGAGCGCCUGGGUUUCUGCUCAUCACAGUUAGUGUAAGGAUCCAUUUACUCAUCUGCCUCUCCCGCCCUCUUCCCUUCUCUCCCCUCCUCUCCCCUCCUUUCCCCUUCUUCUCCUCUCCUUCCCUCCCCUCCCCUCUCUGAGGAACUUGGUCCAGCUACAGUCAAUAUCUAGAGAAGGUAUUGGCCUAGAGAACCUUGCUCAAUCUUAAGCCCGCACACCUGCCGUACUUUGGGAUCACCCCGGGAACCUUAACAUGCUGAUGCCUGUGUUCUUAUCUUCAGAGACUCUGGUUUGAUUGGCCUGGAUGUGGCCUAGGCAUGGGGUGAAGAGUGUGGGUUGAAAAGCUCCCCGGGUGGUUCAAGGUGCAGCCCAGGUGGAGCGCCACCAUAAUUUACAGCACACGACUCAAGACCCACCCAGCCACUUAGAGGAGCUGCACUCCAGGCACCUCGGGGAGUAUAACCUUGAACUCGGAACCCCACUAUAUUUGCCAUAUUUGUUGUGUUGAAAGAAAACUAGUCAUCUGUUUAUCUGAGUCAGUAGCAUUGAGCAGCUGUAUAGUCCCCCACAGGCCCCACCCAGUCUUCCGUGCUUGUUAGGAGAGACGGAAGCAUCACAGUCACCUGGUAGAAGGAUGCCUGUCUGAGCCCCACCCCAAAUCCAAGGAGCCAGACCAGGGACCCUGUGCUAUAAACAAGUCUCCUGGUGAUCCUUCUGCACACAAAUGUGCCAGGGCUCAAAACAUCCUAAAACAGGCUGCAAACCCCUGACGCCUUGCAGAGCCAGGUAGGAAAGUUCAAAGCAAAGAAAGGCCUCCAGGGGACCAUGCGGGGACUGGAAAACGACUGGCUCUAGCAAAUUCUUGUCCUUUGGGAAUGUGGGCCCCAUGUUGUCAAGUCCCUCUUUUUUAAAAAGAGAAUGCCAAAAAUCUGAAUUUUUAAAAAGGUGAAACUUGUUUAAAGCUGACAACUAAUUCAAGCCAUUUAAGUACACAGCUCAGACCAAACAAAACUUACCUGGGACCUGAAUUUAGCAUCUAUUACCAAUGUUUGCGGCAAACCCCACACGUGGAUGAAGCUAGAGGGUGGUGUGCUUGCCUGGCCUUGUCUCGGCUCUCUCUUUUUUGAGCUGUUUUCCUGCUAUGGGACUUGGGCCAGCACGGAGUAGGAGUGGGGAGGCGGUGGGGAGCGGGUACAGGAAACGGCCCCUGAGACUUGUGCCGUACGUGCAAUUGGGAGGCUGUUUGGGGACAUUGUUCCUCACGUUUAACAGUGUUCUCUUCAUGCCAACUCUCUAAAAAAAUACCUCUCAGGUCUCAGGGCCUAAUAGAGUUUUGAUUUGCCUCAGCAAUGGUGUGCCAGUGUCUUAUGGACACUGAAUUGCGUGGGAUCAAGUUUUAGCUGCUAGAAAGGUCAGAGGGCAAUUUGUGGCCUGUCCCCAUGGCAUAUAGGACCUCAAGGUCCACACUUGUAUACCUGUCAUUCCUGGGUGCUUCUGACCUUUCCAACUUCUGUUUUUCGUUUGAUGCUUGUCACAUGACCACUCCUGUAAAAUUUUAUGCUUGUAUAUCAAAUAAAGAAGUUAAGUGCUUUCUGAAAUAAGGCAUGCUAUAAAUAAAUAAGCCCAUAAAAAUAGUAAGUGCUGAAAAAAAGGGUUAUUGAAUACAUGACUACUUGAAUGAUUCAUUUUGUGGUUGCACACAGGGCCUUGCACAGAGCAGGUGUUCAGGAAAUGAGGGCAGGAUGGUAGAGUGGAAAGCAGCAGUUUAGAGAUGGAAAGACAAUAGCCCUGCCAUUUCCUAGCGACUGGGACCUUAGCCAAGCUGACUAACCUCUCUUAGCCUCAGUUUCCUCGUCUGUACAAUGGGGACAAUCUCAGUGCCACCUUAUCAGAGUUGCUGGGAGGAUUGAGUAAGAUGAUGUAAAGUGCCUAGCAUGUAACAGGCACUUAAUAAGUGGCAGCUGUGAUUAUUUCAACACCAGAAAUACCCUCAUCUAUGAAUGUCAUUGUUAAAUGACUUAGUAAAGGCAGUAAUGUGUGCAACAUGAGUGAGGACGCUCUCCCUUUGCUCAAGCCAGCUAGAGUGUGACAGAGAAACCACAUGGAUUCACUGGGUCAAUAAAAUGGGGAGGCCUUCCAGAAGCUCUCGAUUCCCUCAGCUCCUUGUCCCAGGUCUCUGCUCCCCUCCACACCAGGGCCCCUCUGAUUAUAGCAGUGAUGGCAGGUGGCUCCCUGUCUGAGUGUGGCUGCCCCAUCACUCCCCUCUCAGCAUGCUUAUGUGCUAAAGACCCUGUCCUGUCUGCCCCCGUCAUCCAAUCUCUAGCCCUAGCCCUGUACAUUCCCUUUCUGGAAGCCUCUGGCAGUUUUCUGCAAGCUUCCCAGCCCUGACUGAUCCCUCUCCUGGUCAUCACUUAAGUGAGCAAAUUCAUCUUUGAACGGUUCCUUGACCUUUUGCUUGACAGAUGCACGCAUGCUUUAGAAAGCACACGUCAUGCAGUGCACAGGAGGUGCACUCAGAGAUGACUGAAUGUAGUGUCUGGGGCUCACUCCCUCUGAGGGUUGGACACCAGGCAGACAGUCAGGAAAGCAACUCUCUAAUACUGUUACGAGGGAGAAAAUACAUCAUAUAGAUCCCUGCGAUGGAAGGUGGUCUAUGGUGAGUUGUAGGUUUCCCUAAGGGCCUAAAAUUUAUUCAUAAGAGGCACUGUUGCAUAGGGCAGUGGUUCUCAAAGUGUAGCUCCAGACCUGGAGCAUCAGCCUAGACUGGGAGCUCUUAUAAAUGCAAAAUCUCCAGCCUCACUCCAGAACUACUGACUCAAACCAUGUGGGGCCCACCCAGCGCUCCCAGUUUUCACAAGCCCAGGGGUGAUCCCAUGUAGGGCCGGUUUUUGGACCACUGGAAUGGUGGAUUCAUUUGGAACCUGUCACCUCAUCUGUCAACAGGGACGACCCUAAUCAUGGCAGUGGCUUCUGGAAGGGCCACGAGAUGAACGUGGGAAGCCUGCCUGGCACGUGGUUGGUGCUGAGCCACCGUCCCCUAAGACUGAUCACCCACUACCUUUGGAGGGUCAGCUACCGCCUGGCGCUGUUCUCUGUCAGUCAUGGAACCCAAGAUAAGGGCUCCAGCAGAAAGGAGAAACAGGAUGGAGGUCAGGGAAAGCUGAUCUGAAACUUAGGCUAAGGCCCUGAAUGCCAACCUUAGGACCUCUCUUUGCCUCUGUCUGCGGCGGAGACUCACAUGUUUCCAUUACUUUUCUGUAAUACAACAA